rnacentral:rRNA from 1 species
AUACGGAGGGCGCGAGCGUUACCCGGAUUCACUGGGCGUAAAGGGCGUGUAGGCGGUCUGGGGCGUCUGGUGUGAAAUCCCACGGCUCAACCGUGGGGGUGCGCCGGAUACGCUCAGGCUAGACGGUGGGAGGGGGUGGUGGAAUUCCCGGAGUAGCGGUGAAAUGCGCAGAUACCGGGAGGAACGCCGAUGGUGAAGGCAGCCACCUAGUCCAUUGGUGACGCUGAGGCGCGAAAGCGUGGGGAGCGAACCGGAUUAGAUACCCGGGUAGUCCACGCCCUAAACGAUGCGCGCUAGGUCUUUGGGGUUAUUCUGGGGGCCGAAGCCAACGUGUUAAGCGCGCCGCCUGGGGAGUACGGCCGCAAGGUUGAA